GCCAGACUCCUACGGGAGGCAGCAGUGGGGAAUAUUGCACAAUGGGGGAAACCCUGAUGCAGCGACGCCGCGUGAGUGAAGAAGUAUUUCGGUAUGUAAAGCUCUAUCAGCAGGGAAGAAAAUGACGGUACCUGAUUAAGAAGCCCCGGCUAACUACGUGCCAGCAGCCGCGGUAAUACGUAGGGAGCAAGCGUUAUCCGGAUUUAUUGGGUGUAAAGGGUGCGUAGACGGGUAUACAAGUUAGUAGUGAAAUCCCUCGGCUUAACUGAGGAACUGCUACUAAAACUAUAUAUCUUGAGUACUGGAGGGGAAAGCGGAAUUCCUAGUGUAGCGGUGAAAUGCGUAGAUAUUAGGAAGAACACCGGUGGCGAAGGCGGCUUUCUGGACAGAAACUGACGUUGAGGCACGAAAGUGUGGGGAGCAAACAGGAUUAGAUACCCUAGUA
rnacentral:rRNA from 1 species